rnacentral:lncRNA from 1 species
AUUCAUUCCCUCUAGAGCGCUCGACAAAUGUUUACUGAGUGCCCACGGGGUGCCUAGAGCCUGGCGGGACGUCGCGGGGAUGCGGCUGGAGGAAUCGGAGCCGGCCCUGCCCUCUCGGCACUCGCGGUCCGGACCAGGAAGGCGGCCCGAGCAGGACGGGUGGGCUGCGGACCGCGGUGGGAAAAGUUGGGGGAGCGCGGAGGUGGCGCGGAAAUAGAAGGCUUCCUGGAAGCGGUGACCCUUGAGCCGGUCUUGCCCCUCAGUCCCUGUAUCCUUUUAAGCCAGCCACGCUGACCCCUCCGCGCCUCCCUGAAGCCGUUGCCAGCCUGUCUCUGCGCUCGCCAUUCCCUCCGCCUGGACCUCUCCCCACUCACCACCUCCCGCCCCCAUCAGACGCUGCUUUCUCCUCCCAGAGACCUCCAAGACCUGCCAAGCUGAGGUUGUUUCCUCGCCUCGCCCCUCGCACGUUUGUUUUCUUUCCUGUAGUUUCUCUUGCUGUCUGGAAUUGCUGUUUGAGUUA